GUCAUGUGACAUGACAGCGUUCUGUUGACAUGUCGCCGUCAUACAGUUGUGAUCAAAUCAUUUAUCUUUUUACAGAACAAAUUUAUUAAACUACUCAGAAAACUACAUUUAUCAUUGAUAUGGAUCACCUGAGAGCAGAACAUCGCUACUGAAUAUCCUGAAAAAUACACCAAAGAGGAGUAUCAGAAAGAAAGCCAGUCACUGAAGUAUUUACUGUAGUAUUAUCUUUCCUUUUGUUUGAUCUGUCAGGUCAGUACCUGUAUGUCCUUGAGAAGAAUGGAGAGUGUCUCCGUGUGACCGAUGAAGAGGAGAAGGCUGCCAUUCUCAAUGAAGUUCACGCAGGACGCUUCGGCUCAUGGGUGUGUGGACAAGGGGGUGGGGGGAGCCCCAGAAUUAGGAGUUAUUUGUUUUAUUGUGUUGGACAGCACACGUGGAGGGGUGAUGAGGUGAUGGACCACAGCCAGGCUCUGCUACGUAGACAGUACCCACAGGUGGGAGGUUUGUAUGCUGUCACCAGCCUGACACAGCUGACCUCCUUCAGCUCACCGGCUCAGGGAUUUGUACAGAUUCUCAAUGUGUCUGGCAAUCACUGGGUCACGGUCGUAUCACUGCUGCAGUACAGUGGAAAGACAGUUGGGAUCGGGUGGCCACAUGUACAGCAGCAGCAGGGAUGGAGGGACUGUGGACUGUUUACCAUCCCAAACAGCCUCACACUCUGCAUGGGUGGAGAUCCAGGUAAGUUAUGUUAUGUUAUGAUCAAAAGCAAAUGCAUGAUCAUCUUUUUUCUUGUUUUGUAGCUGGAUCUCUUCCUCCUUUCCCGAGCUGUGAGAGAACCCCCCUCCCAGAGGUACAUUUCUGUGAUGUGGAGACCAGACAGGAUUGCACUGGAGCUGAUGGUGGAAUGCGGGAGGUGUGGAGAAUGGUUCCAUGGCCAGUGUGAAGAUCUACAGCCAGAUGACCUCAUAAGUAUGGAGGAGUAUAUGUGCUCCAUUUGCAGAGUUACACACAUGGGUAAGUAUGGUAAGUAAAGGUGAAACAGAUUUAUUAUUUUGUUUUUUACUAUAUGUUUUUCUGAACAUUUUAUACUAAGCAUUCCUGCUUAGUAUAUUAUACUAACACUAAAAUUUGGUAAUGCCUGUCAAACAACUUUACCAUAAUUUAUAGCUAUUUACAUAUGUACAGUAGGGCAUUGUUAAUAAGGCUCAGUGUCUUCAGUGUUUAUUUUUCAUGAGCACACAAACUACUUAUUUUGAAGACUUUUUUUUUCAGGAGACCUUGAUUCUGUAUUGAGACGUUUUUAUUUGGAGAAAUAUUGCAGAUGCUUUUGCACUUUCGUUUUUAAUUGGUAUGGUAGUCUUAGUUUCUGAGCUACUGAAUUAUUGCCUGACUUGAGUAUUUCCAGGGCAGAGAUAUCCAAAGUAAACUGGAUGUCAGUUCUAACACCCACCUUGUUUAAUGUAGUUAUUGUGAACCAGCUGGGGGAGGGGUUGAUUCACUGUAUUUAAGUGAGAUUGUGCCAAAUAAGGUGGGUGUAACAUGAUAUAAAAGUACAGUAGAUGUAAUUCUGAAGUAAUAAACAACUUCACAUUUUACAUGUACAUGUUUCAGACAGUACAUGUAAUGCUUCAAUUUCAAAUUCGAUUUCCAUUCCUGUGGGAGGGUGCGGGUAUUCACUGACACGGGAGACAGAAAUGGUAUUUGAUAACACCACACAGGUGCUCGGUUUUAUUAUUUUUCUUUUGUUCUCUGGUGCACUGAUUUCUUUGAGCCCGUAGAGGGCGCUUGUGGUCCGUGGUCUGGCUACCAGCUAUGGUAUCCAGAACCAACGGAGAAUACCACGGCAGGGUACUCAGGUACAGUCCGGCACUCGCAGGUGCUCACAAAUUAUAAAAACGAAAAGGCAAAAAGAAACAGGGAAAAUAAAACACAGUAAGGAAAAACUACAAAAUAAAUGUGCUGCACUUCGCAGCGUGAAUCUCCCCAGUCGCCGCUACCCGUACGACCCGGGACUCCGUCCUACACUCUGCUGUCUCCAACUCACACACGUUACUGGGGCUGCCCAACGAUCCCCCACUUUUCCCUUUCUUUCUUUAAAAGUAUUUUCUUUGAUUUUUUUUCUUCGAUCUCCUUUCUUUUCCGGGCUUGUGUUAGCCUCCCGUCCCUCAGUAUUCAAAACGAGACCGCUGUUCUCGCAGUUCCAGUUUAAAGGGGCGGAUCUGAGGAAACAACAGAGUGUUACUUUAUAGGUUAACAAUCCCAUUAAAGUCCGCCUCCCAGCCACUCAGAGAGGGGAAAAGCACACACACCCUCUUUCCCACCUCUCCGUGUCACCGCCAUGACUGGCAGGCAGACCCCACGGGACUGCCGCCCUCUUCCUGCAGCAUCGUGCAUGCGUCAGACGGCCAGUCCAGGUCUCUCCCUGUUACAAUUCCUAUUAAAUGAUAUUAGACAAUUACAUACUAUACAAGAGUACGAAAUGUCCAUAUGAUUUACUGAUAACAUAUGUCACUAUAAAUAAUUGGUAAUGUCGUUUUUAGACAGGCAGCCUCUUUAAAGUCCUUCUUUUUUUGUGGGUUAUGUGAGAAGGCAUUUUAAGGUUCUGUUAAACCUGUUCCUAACACCCCACUCCAUCGGUCAGGACCUUGACGUGGUGAGUGGGCUUUUUACCAAAGCUGACCUACAGUAUAGCUUUUUUUUUUUUUUUCACCACUGCUUACACAUUAAGUCCUGGAUAGCACUUUACAAUGGAAAUAUGCAAUCUGAUCAUGUACUGAUCAUGUUUUAUUGUGAAGAAUACAGAAAAUAAAGUUUGUUACAUUUUUCAA